GGCGUGGCUUCCGGAGCUAACGCGUUAAGUCGACCGCCUGGGGAGUACGGCCGCAAGGUUAAAACUCAAAUGAAUUGACGGGGGCCCGCACAAGCGGUGGAGCAUGUGGUUUAAUUCGAUGCAACGCGAAGAACCUUACCUACUCUUGACAUCCAGAGAACUUUCCAGAGAUGGAUUGGUGCCUUCGGGAACUCUGAGACAGGUGCUGCAUGGCUGUCGUCAGCUCGUGUUGUGAAAUGUUGGGUUAAGUCCCGCAACGAGCGCAACCCUUAUCCUUUGUUGCCAGCGGUUCGGCCGGGAACUCAAAGGAGACUGCCAGUGAUAAACUGGAGGAAGGUGGGGAUGACGUCAAGUCAUCAUGGCCCUUACGAGUAGGGCUACACACGUGCUACAAUGGCGCAUACAAAGAGAAGCGACCUCGCGAGAGCAAGCGGACCUCAUAAAGUGCGUCGUAGUCCGGAUUGGAGUCUGCAACUCGACUCCAUGAAGUCGGAAUCGCUAGUAAUCGUAGAUCAGAAUGCUACGGUGAAUACGUUCCCGGGCCUUGUACACACCGCCCGUCACACCAUGGGAGUGGG
rnacentral:rRNA from 1 species